UUGGACUAAAAGUCAAAGUAUCAACGGUGCUGUCUAUGUUGGAUAACUGUCGACAAUCCUUGGAGAACCAGCA
rnacentral:ribozyme from 1 species